GAUGGAAGAAAAAAUGCUAGCAACCACUCCAACAUUAGCAGCUUUAAGAUCGUCAUUUUUUACCGUAAUUUAGGGGGCCUUCGAAAUAGUGUUUUCCAAAUUGCUUGCUAGAAAUGGUUCACCAAGGGUAGAGUUUAAAUUAAUUUUCUUUGCUGUAGUCGAGGGGUCCUUUGGAAAUUCCUCUUUUUUAAACCCUAUAUGAGCCUCACAAACAUCCACAUAAUUUUUUCUCUGCACGCCCGAUUUAGAUCCAAGAGAAACAGAAGGCUUGCAAGUUGUUCACCGCCGUGUCUCCAUCCCAAUAAGAAAAACCACAUAUUUUUGGCCCUUAGAAGGUCCAAUAGCCUGAUGGCGUUCCUGCUAGAUGCGAUUAAUGAGCCCAAAGGAUUGACCCAUAUUAUCUUUUCUUGCACCAGUACCCAAACCUCUUAUCCCAUUUCUAGAGCUACCCCAUCAUCAAUUAAAACCUUUUUCCCAUGCUUUUAUCUCGACAAGUAUUUUUUAAUAAAAUUUCUAUUCACCACUUUCCAAUCUAGUGCCAUUAGAGGUUGAUAUCUUGAACCCAUGAUUUUCUCCCCUUCUUUAGACCUUUCAAAUUUAUUAGGUUCACGAGAUUGGCGCCUUGAUUUCUACUCCACCAACAUCCACAGGCUGUAUUCUCCAUUUUCGAUCGACGGUUCCAGAGCAGCCGGUGUGGUGCUAGCCGACUGUAAUACCACCUCCGAUGCAGUAGAAAAUGAAGAUCUAUUUGGUCAAAUUUUCCUGUUAUGGCCAUACCAUCCACACAAAAAGCAUACCACCGAAAACUCGGAAGACCUGGAAACUUGAUCCACCUAAUUACAAAGUUGGGUAUUGGAGAGCUAGGUUAAAAUCGAUAUAUCAAAGUUGAACAAUUAAGCGCUGUCCAAAAAAAAUCCAAGGGCAUUGUGACAAUAUCUUCUCAUAGUCCUCCACAUUCUGAUACAUGUCUAAAAAAUAGUCAUUCUCGAUAUCCAUCAAUUAAAAAGGCUUGGUAGGUUUUGAUAA